CAGUUUGAUCCUGGCUCAGGACGAACGCUGGGGGCGGGCCUAAUACAUGCAAGUGGAACGCACGAGGUACACCGUAGUUUACUACACCGUACUUUGUGAGUCGCGAACGGGUGAGUAACGCGUAGGUAACCUACCUUUUAGCGGGGGAUAACUAUUGGAAACGAUAGCUAAUACCGCAUAAGAUAUCUUACUGCAUGGUAAGAUAUUAAAAGAUGCAAUUGCAUCACUAAGAGAUGGACCUGCGUUGUAUUAGCUAGUAGGUGAGGUAACGGCUCACCUAGGCAACGAUACAUAGCCGACCUGAGAGGGUGAUCGGCCACACUGGGACUGAGACACGGCCCAGACUCCUACGGGAGGCAGCAGUAGGGAAUCUUCGGCAAUGGGGGGAACCCUGACCGAGCAACGCCGCGUGAGUGAAGAAGGUUUUCGGAUCGUAAAGCUCUGUUGUAAGAGAAGAACGAGUGUGAGAGUGGAAAGUUCACACUGUGACGGUAACUUACCAGAAAGGGACGGCUAACUACGUGCCAGCAGCCGCGGUAAUACGUAGGUCCCGAGCGUUGUCCGGAUUUAUUG
rnacentral:rRNA from 1 species